rnacentral:tRNA from 1 species
UAGUAAAAGCAUCAAUGCAUUUAGUUUCGACCUAAAAGAAGAACUUUAUUGUUCUUACUAC